rnacentral:ncRNA from 2 species
AUAUAAUUUUACUUUUGUGGCCGCUGUCGGGCUGACACACCGCAGGUGUGCGAACGGCAGAGGCUAAACAAGGGAAGAGGGACGUACCCCACAGCUUAUCGCUGCUGAAGCGCGAGUCCGUACCGCUGAAAAGGUGAAAACCGGUCACUGGGAAACUGGGAAGGCUGCGGUACUAAGACGUUGAGCGGCAAUAACCGCUCUGAAAGCGUGAGUCAGAAGACCUACAAAAUGCACUGCACUUUG